rnacentral:sRNA from 1 species
GCUGGACACAGUGGUGCAUACCUGUAAUCCCAGUAGCUUUGGAGGCUGAGGCAGGAGGAUCACAAGUUCAAAGCUAACCACAGCAAUUUAGUGAGACCCUGUCUCAA